rnacentral:rRNA from 1 species
GGAUAAGCGGCGGAAACGCCGUCUAAUACCGCGUGACAACCCGAGGGGGCAUCCCCUUGGGUUCAAAGGAGAGAUCCGGUACCGGCUGGGCAUGCGGCGCAUUAGCUAGUUGGCGGGGCAACGGCCCACCAAGGCGACGAUGCGUAGGGGUUCUGAGAGGAAGGUCCCCCACACUGGAACUGAGACACGGUCCAGACUCCUACGGGAGGCAGCAGUGAGGAAUAUUGGUCAAUGGGCGCAAGCCUGAACCAGCCAAGUCGCGUGAGGGAAGACGGCCCUACGGGUUGUAAACCUCUUUUGCCGGGGAGCAAGCCUGAGCACGUGUGCCCAGGCGGAGAGUACCCGGAGAAAAAGCAUCGGCUAACUCCGUGCCAGCAGCCGCGGUAAUACGGAGGAUGCGAGCGUUAUCCGGAUUUAUUGGGUUUAAAGGGUGCGCAGGCGGGCUGUUAAGCCGGCGGUAAAAAUUCAGGGCUCAACCCUGUCGAGCCGUCGGAACUGGCAGUCUUGAGUGGGCGAGAAGUAUGCGGAAUGCGUGGUGUAGCGGUGAAAUGCAUAGAUAUCACGCAGAACGCCGAUUGCGGAGGCAGCAUACCGGCGCCCAACUGACGCUGAGGCACGAAAGCGUGGGGAUCGAACAGGAUUAGAUACCCUGGUAGUCCACGCUGUAAACGAUG